UUGCACGCUGGCGGCAUGCUUUACCCAUGCACGUCGAACGGUAACAGGCCGCAAGGUGCUGACGAGUGGCGAACGGGUGAGUAAUGCAUCGGAACGUGCCCAGUCGUGGGGGAUAACUACUCGAAAGAGUAGCUAAUACCGCAUACGAUCUAUGGAUGAAAGCGGGGGACCGUAAGGCCUCGCGCGAUUGGAGCGGCCGAUGUCAGAUUAGGUAGUUGGUGGGGUAAAGGCUCACCAAGCCAACGAUCUGUAGCUGGUCUGAGAGGACGACCAGCCACACUGGGACUGAGACACGGCCCAGACUCCUACGGGAGGCAGCAGUGGGGAAUUUUGGACAAUGGGCGCAAGCCUGAUCCAGCAAUGCCGCGUGCAGGAAGAAGGCCUUCGGGUUGUAAACUGCUUUUGUACGGAACGAAACGGCUCUGGUUAAUACCCGGGGCUAAUGACGGUACCGUAAGAAUAAGCACCGGCUAACUACGUG
rnacentral:rRNA from 1 species